AGGACGAACGCUGGCGGCGUGCUUAACACAUGCAAGUCGAGCGGAAAGGCCUUUCGGGGUACUCGAGCGGCGAACGGGUGAGUAACACGUGAGUAAUCUGCCCAUCGCUUCAGGAUAGCCAUCGGAAACGGUGAUUAAUACUGGAUAUGACAUUCCUUCGCAUGUUGGGGUGUGGUAAAGUUUUUUCGGCGGUGGAUGUGCUCGCGGCCUAUCAGCUUGUUGGUGGGUAAUGGCCUACCAAGGCUUUGACGGGUAGCCGGCUGAGAGGGUGACCGGCCACGACGUGGACUGAGACACGGCCAGACCUCCGUACGGGAGCAGCAGGUGGGAAUAGUAGGACAAGUGGGACGGAAGCCUGAUCCAGACACGCCGACGUGGAGG
rnacentral:rRNA from 1 species